AACGAACGUUAGCGGCGCGCCUAACACAUGCAAGUCGAGCGAGAAAGGGCUUCGGCCCCGGUAAAGCGGCGCACGGGUGAGUAACACGUGGAUAACCUACCCCCUUGGUGGUGGAUAACCUUCCGAAAGGAGGGCUAAUACAGCGUAAGACCACGACUUCGAAAGAGGUUGGGGUAAAAGUGGGCCUCUGUACACAAGCUCACGCCAGGGGGAUGGGGUCCGCGGCCCAUCAGCUAGUUGGUAGGGUAACGGCCUACCAAGGCGAAGACGGGUAGCUGGUCUGAGAGGAUGAUCAGCCACACUGGAACUGAGACACGGUCCAGACUCCUACGGGAGGCAGCAGUGGGGAAUCUUGCGCAAUGGACGAAAGUCUGACGCAGCGACGCCGCGUGAGUGAUGAAGGCC
rnacentral:rRNA from 1 species